GUACUUCUGGAGUCUUGACUACUCAAACAUGACCGCCCCUUCCAAACCUCUAGUGGCUCCUCCAGGGCGGGUUGAAGCUCUCCGAAGGAAGAAUCUUUGGCUUUCCCUUAGAAGUCACACAGCACAGUCUGUGCUCCUCCAUGGCGGGGAUGAUGGAAAUUGCUGUGCCCCAAUGACUUGGCCUGCAGUAUUAGAAGAUCUAUAAAGACAUUAUGGAUGCAGCUGUGAGACCAGGGUUACAUAACCAGUGCCUCAGUCAACAAGGAAGUGGAAAAACAAUAACUGAUGUCAUCGUUUUGCUCUGUUGGUCUCUUGAAAAAAAACUUCUAAGAUGUUUGUAGGAAAUAUCUUGCAGAGAAUGACAACUUGUUCAUACCAAAGUCAGCUCAAGUUUCAACAUCAAGGUGAUUCUUAGAAUGAGAAGAACAACAAAUCUUAGUACAUAGCGAACUGAGUCGCACCAGUAAUUUUAAACUUGACCUUUUACAAGAAAAAAAAAACUGGUAAGCGUUUUUGUUCUUUUUUUGCAUAAAGUUGUGCCCUGGCCUUUGUGUUUUCCUCACAUAUGACCUAAAGACCCUGUCUACGCAAUGUUAUCCACUUGCAGUGGGUGAUUACAGCGGCCCAGAUGUUGCUGGAGAACGGAGAUAUUAGAUAUGAAAGCUGCAGGUCUCACUAAUAGCUCAGCAAGCCGGGAAGCGUUUGAUCUGUCAUGCAGCCUGUGCGGGGCAAAGCUUUAUAAAUCAGCCUCGUCUAUGGAUGACCACAGCAAAGAAAAGGUUAAUGGCUCCCGCUAUCAGCCGAUUACCCUCUGCUACACGGCUCCAAUGAAUCGCACUACAAAGUGGGUCAUUUAUUAAACUCCAAAGUGGCAAUCUGAGCCAUUCACAACCAAAGUAUCUUUUUGAAGUCAAUGGGAAGAGCGCCAGGACGGAUCCAUGCAGCGCUCACUAAGUGGCACAAGGGCGCCCCCACUUGGAGCAUGCUGCGAAGAUUAUCUGCCCUGGUAUACUAAUAUUCCAAAUGGUACAUACACAUUUCCCCAUGUUUUAUCCGUUUUUAAAACAAUGCAUGUACAGAAAAAUACCUGUUGAUCUGUCAGAAAUCCAGUGAGCUCCUAACUUCCUGUAGUGAGCUGCCUUUGCUGCACUGAAAUCCCAAUCCGUGUUGUCAACCCUGCCUGAGUUCUUAACUGCUGGAAUACAGAAUAGCUCAGUGGUGGGACAAGGUCAUUUAGCAUCAAGCAGAAUAUGGGCUAAGAUCCGCCCAGUUACUUCAGCAGCAUAGGUUGCAGGUCUUUCCAUUUUUGCACCCCCACCCCCCUGUCCUGCUGAAGCUUCCAAAGCAGCAACCUCUUCUGCCUACCUUUCGGCCCAAUUCUAGAACUCCUCAUCCUCCUUCUUCAACCCCCCUCUCUCUCUCUCUCUCUCUCUCAUUAUCUCCUUAAGUAGGAGUGGUUCUGUUGUCCAAUAGGGGAAAAGUGGGCCGGAAGACUACACUGCUUACGAUUCCUGUGCACCAGAGGAAGCGUUGUCACUCCACUACCGUAAAUUUACCAGCUCAUUGGAUUUCACUGCAGAUCAACAGAUAUAUGUAUUUAUCUUUAAGGCCCCUUUC